GUUGGACCCGGGUGUGAGGGGUUACACUUGCACACAGGGAUUUUUUAAAGCACACAUACAAAUACAACAACAAGAAACAUAGUUGGCUAAUAAAAAAUAAGAGCAAAAUCUAAAAGUAUCAGACACAAUCAGGUUUAGUCAUAAUAAGAUUAUGAAUAUUACAAUAUUACAAAUAAAUAUCAACCGAGUUUACAAAAACAUUGCACUAAGCAGCAGGGUAUGGCACUUUGUCAUUUUGCCUUGGGAGGCAUUUAACUGUUUAAGAGGGAAAUGGCCUGUGGGAAGAAGCCAUUCCUGUGCCCAGUGAUCUGAAUCACCAUUCAGACGGCAACAGUUCAAACAGGUGGUGUUCAGGGGGAGUGAAGUCUGAUGAUUUUACCUGCCCUUUCUUACUCUGAAAGAGGGGGACCAAUAAUCUUCAGCAGUCCGGACUGUCUGUUGUAGUCUCUGUAGGUCUGAUUUUGGUAGCUAACCCAAACCAUACCAUACUUAUAGAAGUGCAUAGAACAGACUCAAUGAUGGCUGUGCAUUCGAGUGCUUUCUAUAACGUCCACUGUAGUUUCGAACACCGUUACAAAUGGCUGUUCCCUAAAUACCCUAUUUGAGGGUAUAGGGUGAUUUCGGAUGUAGCCAAUGUGAUUGUCUCACUUCAGGUCCUGAGAGAUGGUGGUUCCCAGGAACCCGAAUGACUCCACUACUUCCACAGUGUGCUACUCAUGAAGGGGGAAGAGGUGACGCUAAUGCCUCGUGUGCUUUUACUCCAUUGACACCAUCAGGAACAAAUGUAUAGGAGCCACGGACGUGGGAAUCAGAACCCCAUCUGGUGAUCAGUGUCUUUGAGACUUCUGGCACUGACCAGCCCGUGAAAGACCUGAGCAACCUUAAAAGACAAAACAGAGUUUGUUAUAUAUGGAGAGAGGCAUGAUAUUUGGCCAUGGUAAAAUGAUCAUCUAUUCCAUCAUUUAUGUCACCAUACCUCACACAGAUGGCUCCGAUUUCACUGUCCUGAAGAUUCUCCAUAUACAGAGCUUCUCUACCUGUGAUCCAGCCACACAGAGUCGUGGGAUGACGAGCCACUGUGUCAAAACCAGUGAUCUUCUUGAACCACGUCUUUUUCCAGGUUUCUCCUUCAGACAGAGACUCAUAAACAUCUUUAUCUUCAGGCCCUUCUUUCCACACCAGCUGAACCCCGGAACAGUCGUCUGGCCAGAAA